GUCAUUUUGUUGCAAAAUCAGUCUAAUCUAAUGGCAGAACGGAGCGACUCUGUGCAAUUCGCUCUGUGGAAAUUUUGGAAAAUCUCAAUUUUUCUUCAUUUCCGGCGCUCAAAUUGUAAAGAAUUCAAAUGAGAAAAAUUUCCUACGCGGUUUUGCGCUUUUUGUCUUUCAGUAGUGCAAUUUUAACGAAAAAACGCAAUUUUUAAACACGGGCAUUUUUUGACGUUUUUUGACAGCCUAUGGAGGUUAUACCGAAGUGCGGCUACUUUCCAUCAACUGGCUGAAUAUUUAUUUGCUGGAUUAAAGGGAGCGCUUCGAGUGUUGAGAACAUUUUGAGGUCUUCUAGAGGCUUUUAAUGAUUUUGAGACUAUGAGGUAGAGCCAGGAAUUGGCAUUCUAAAGAAAAUCGUCACACCGAGAGAGCAAUCGUAGAAACCGACAAUCAAACAGAAAAAAAAGUCGGAGAGCCCGCCAAUGGUGUAGAGCAGACGACGUCGCGCGCAAUAAGAUCCGCAGCAAUGCGAGAAACUCCACUGCAGGGCUGAAUGUUCCGAUUGGUCCGCAGCAAGUUUCUCGUAUUGUCAUUGGCCCCGGCCCCAAAAACGACACUCCAAUCGUACAAAAGUCAAAAUUACGGCUGCUCCUGGAAAUCCAACCGAAUGCGAUUCCGUUUCCAGCAUUCCCAUGAAAUUCGUGUGAUUCGGCGUCGGAAUCUUCUAAAAUCAAUAAAACAAAGCGACCGAGCCUCCGUUGUUUGCCAACUGGUUCAUCUAAUAUUUAUAUAUAAAAUAUUUUUAUUUUAAGGAAAAUAGACGGUUUCAGAUGUU